GAUGUCCUUCUGAGAAAAGAAAGUAGAAUAUCUGUUGUCUCUCUGCAUGUUUUCAAGAAGAGUGCAUACCAGUGAUUCUGAACAGGAAGAAGCUUCUGCUUCAAGGAUAAUGAAAAUUAAAGCUGAGAUCUGUUCCAGCAGCUUUUGCAGCCACUAGAGAAGUAGCUAUAUAACAGUUUCCCCAACCUGCUGCUCCGUCUCCCUGCAGACUCCAGGGAGCUAUACCUGAGAAGCAGUAAGAUUGACCUAGUUUAUUGGAGUAUUCAGAAUCCAGCUUUAUAAGAUCACUGAGAAAGACUAUCAUAAAUGAAGAAAGAGGAUCAUUUUCAAGGUGGUAAAAUUAAGGUGAUCAUAAAUUCUAUUCUACCAAGUUGACAUCUGAGCACAAAUCAGAAAGACAGAAGGGAACGAACCACAAAUAAGUUAGCAGAGUUUGCUCCAGACAAGUGUUAGCAAAUGCAAAAAGUGUAAAACAGAAAUGUGCUGGAGCAACAUGAGAGAAACUUGUGUUCCUGAGUCUGAGAAGAUUAAAAGAUGGGUAUCGGUGCUGCUCGAAGUUUGAGUCUGCUUCCUUUAGAACCAGAACUGUCAGGUAGUCCUCAACAAUUUUGCUUCCACUCAUCACCAAAUGAAGGGGAAAGAAGGAACCAAUGCAGAAUGAAAGGUCGUGUAUUCACAGAGCCUAUUUGGGGAAGUAGUAAGUUUCCCCCCAAAAGGGCAAUGAAAUUUUGAUUAGUAGAGAUUUGCAGAGAAGCAGUUCAGUUGACUGAACAAGAGCCAAAAAAAGAGAGAAGAAAUGCCUUACUAUGUGUAUAAACAAAACAAAAUUCUUACUAUAGUGUAAAUAUACAUUAAAGUCUAAAAGCAGAAAUAUACAAAAACUAGUGUCUCAAAACCAAAAUGCAUGAGACCAAGGCAACUAAUCCCUAUGACUUCAAGCAAGGUCUUCACAGAAGGAGCAAGAUGGGUGUUGCUCUUCCAAGGUCUAGAAUCCUCUCAGCAACAGCUUAAAGAGGGGAAUCUUUAGAAGAAACACAGCACAGGUGCGUUUGGCCAUACUCUCCAUAGUCCCCAUCUGUUCGGUUGAUUAUCUCCACAGAAGAGCUCAAUAACCCAAGUGUUCCCAUAGAAGGACAGUCAGAAAAAUGCCACAGUUUAUAAAAAAGGAAACCAAAGCUUAUUCUUCAGUGACAGAAAGGAUUACAACACUCUAUGACACAAAGGACCCAAAAAUCAAAUAAAGAAAAGUUCAAC